rnacentral:rRNA from 1 species
UACGUAGGGUGCGAGCGUUGUCCGGAAUUAUUGGGCGUAAAGAGCUUGUAGGCGGUUUGUCGCGUCUGCUGUGAAAUUCCAGGGCUUAACCCUGGGCUUGCAGUGGGUACGGGCAGACUAGAGUGUGGUAGGGGAGACUGGAAUUCCUGGUGUAGCGGUGAAAUGCGCAGAUAUCAGGAGGAACACCGAUGGCGAAGGCAGGUCUCUGGCCACUACUGACGCUGAGAAGCAAAAGCAUGGGGAGCGAACAGG